AACAAACGCUGGCGGCGUGCCUAACACAUGCAAGUCGUACGAGAAAGUCGGCUUCGGCCGGUGAGUAAAGUGGCGCACGGGUGAGUAACGCGUGGAUAAUCUGCCCUCCGGUCAGGAAUAACCAAUCGAAAGGUUGGCUAAUACCCGAUCACACUCUUGCACUGCGGUGCAAUAGUCAAAGAUGGCCUCUGUAUACAAGCUAUCGCCGGGGGAUGAGUCCGCGUACCAUUAGCUGGUUGGUGGGGUAAUGGCCUACCAAGGCGAUGAUGGUUAGCUGGUCUGAGAGGAUGGCCAGCCACACUGGAACUGAGACACGGUCCAGACUCCUACGGGAGGCAGCAGUGAGGAAUCUUGCGCAAUGGGGGAAACCCUGACGCAGCAACGCCGCGUGAGUGAGGAAGGCCCUCGGGUCGUAAAGCUCUGUCAGGUGGGAAGAAAUCGAUGAAGGUGAACAACCUCCAAUCCUUGACGGUACCACCAGAGGAAGCACC
rnacentral:rRNA from 1 species